UGUAUAUGGAUGUCUUGAACAUAUGGUUAAAAUUUUGGAUUUAUCUGACGGUUGGAUCAUUAUAUAUUAAUUUGAAUGUACAAAGUACUAAAUUAGGUAUUAAGGAUUGACUUAAAUUGAAUAAGUGAUUUUGAUAGAACUAAAAUUAUUUUGAGAUGGGAUAUAGUGUUCAUUGAAUUAUUAAGUGAUUGUAGAAUAUUUUUGAGAAAUAAUUAUGUGUGUUUAGUUGGAUUUUAGUGAUAUGAACAUAUUUUGAAUAUUUGGGUUGAGAUUUGGGUAUAAAAUGGUGUCAUGUAUGAUUCCUAUGGGUCCUUUAAAUUUUAUAUACUUAGUUGAGAGUGGAAAAUUCAUAUUUGUGAAUGGUUAAAUUUGGGGUGAAUGUGAGCAUCGAUAGUUGGAAAAAUGAUUUGAUGUUUUUGGAACCAAUUAUAAUUGAAGGAAGUAAAUUGCAUUAAAAUGGAAAUUUGAGUUUAUAGAGGAAGUGGUAGUGAAAUUGUGAUUUUAGUUAUGCAAGUUAAUAUGUUGAUAUAAUUUUGGAGUUGUGGAUUUGAGUUCGUGAUAGGAAGUUUAGUUUAAUUUUAAGAGGAGAUGUUGUCGAAUUUUCAUUAGCUUAUUAAUAUGAAAAAUAAAGCAUGUGGUUAAUUUUGAUUAUUGGAUUAUUGAUUUUUUAGGAGGAGCUUUUGAAUAUGAAUUUAUAUGGAUGGAGAUGUUGCAAUCAGGUAAGUGGUAUUUUACAAUAUAUAGCAUGAAUUUGCAUUUUAAUUGAUUUUAGUUCCUUCAAAAGUUGUGAUUUGCUUUUGAUAUCAUUUGUUAUAUUCUGAUAAUUUAAUUUCUCAUUUUGAUUCAAUUUAAUUCUAUUAUAUAAUUGUUCAUUAUUAUUCAAAUGUUAUUUCAUUUAUAUUAGCAAGUCUAGAAAGAGAGUUAAGAAAUUAUGAGAAUGGAAAUAGUAAUGAGAUUAGUAGCACAUUAUAGAGCGCUAGUAGCUAAAUUUAGUAAAUAUAAUUUGAUAUUUUAGAAUUAUGAGAAAUAUUAUGAGAUUGUGGAUUCACAUGAUAAUUGAUUGAUUAUUUAGCUAAUUUGGGUAGCAAUGAAUUUUUACUAAGUAUAAUUAUGUUAUUGAAGAUGGUGAGUUUGAUGGUAUCUGAUUUUGACAACUAUGACAUAACUUAAUAUCAUUAUGAGAUAUUGAAUUGUAGACAUAGUAUCAUUAUGAAAUAUUGAAUUGUAUUUAGCAUAAUUGCUCUCGCUAGAGAGAUACCAGUAGUUUAAUUAUUACAGCAGAAAAGGAUUGCCCAUAAAGAGGUGGAGUCGCCGUUGUAAGGUUAACACAAUAUAGAUAUGAUUUUGAUAUCUAUUUUGAUACCUUAGCAUAUCCUUAGUUGUCAAAAAUCAAUUAUCGAUAUUUUUACAUAUGUAAGAAAUGAUUGAAAACUAGAAAGAAUUUAAUUUGAAAUGGAUAUAAAGAUCUUAGAAUUCACAUAGCAUGCAUGUUAAAAUUUAUUAUCUACUUUAUUCAGCUUGUUUUAAAAAAUUUUAUUAUUUAACUUCUUUUUCUCUACUUCCGCAUGCUGCAUGAUAUACAUUAUAAAUGCUAACUCACUAAACUUUUCCCUAAAAGUUUACUCCUCCCAACUCACCAGUUUUGCAGUUGAUAGUGAGAUGAAUGUUGAGUAUGGUUUUAGAUGCUCCAAUUGGCUAAACUCUACAGUCUUAGAAAGCAAAGGAAGAAUAAUUUUCAGUAGGGAUAAGGGCGUUACACGCCUUAUUUAAUACACUCUCUCGUUCUUGUUUUGAUUCAAAUUAUAUUUACUAUAUAAUGAAUUAUCAAAUAAAAUUUUAAACCUUCUAUCUCUCUGCCACCUCUAAGACUAGAAGACAGAAUUACAGCCACUAGCUACUAGCCAUACCAGUGUUGAUAGCCAAAAGACUAGCAAAUCUAUAUGAGAAAAAAGCAGAACAUAUAUCAACUCCAUUGUACCAACGGCGAGAAAAGACCACCUGAAUUCAUUCUAACAAACAUUAAUAAUUGUCACUAUAAAACAUCGUCACACUUCAAAUCUUCAACCAAGGCGAUGUUAUUGUUUAUGUCUAAUUCAAAAGAAUGGGUCUAAAUUAAUUAACCGAGAAGGAAGGAUGACAUGAAGGAACCUGUUCUGGGUCGAUCAUGAUA
rnacentral:misc_RNA from 1 species